rnacentral:rRNA from 15 species
GGACGCAUCACUGGUGUUCGGGUUGUCAUGCCAAUGGCACUGCCCGGUAGCUAAAUGCGGAAGAGAUAAGUGCUGAAAGCAUCUAAGCACGAAACUUGCCCCGAGAUGAGUUCUCCCUGAGACUUUAAGUCUCCUGAAGGAACGUUGAAGACGACGACGUUGAUAGGCCGGGUGUGUAAGCGCAGCGAUGCGUUGAGCUAACCGGUACUAAUGAACCGUGAGGCUUAACCUUACAACGCCGAAG